GAUGAACGCUGGCGGCGUGCUUAAUACAUGCAAGUCGAACGGGAUCCAAGGGGUGUUUGCACUCUUUGGUGAGAGUGGCGAACGGGUGAGUAACAUGUGAGUAACCUGUCCUUUUCUUUGGGAUAAUCAUGCGAAAGGGUGUUUAAUACCUUAUGUUCUGUCUGCCUCGCAUGGGGUGGGUGGGAAAGGCUUUGGCCGGAUUUGGGUGGGCUUGCGGUGGAUCAGCGCGUUGGUGGGGUGAUGGGUGACCAAGGCUUUGACGGGUAUCUGACGGGAGAGGGGGAUGGGCGGCACGGGGACUGAGACGGGGUCGAGACUCCUACGGGAGGCAGGAGGAGGGAAGCGGGGGGAAUGGGCGCAAGACGGGCGGAGCAAUGCCGCGUGAGUGAUGAAGGGGGGCGGAUCGUAUAAGUCUUUUAAUAGUGAUGUACAAAUGAGUAAGCAACUAUUCGCGUUUUGAGGGUAGAGGGUCAGAAAGCCACGGCUAACUACGGG
rnacentral:rRNA from 1 species